AUUCUGUACAGCCUGUGAGGAGGAGGAAAGCCCAUAACAGUGGUGAAGAUUCAGAUCUUAAGCAAAGGAGGAGGUCACGUUCACGCUGUAACACCAGCAGUGGUAGUGAAUCAGAAAAUUCUAAUAGAGAAUACCGGAAAAAGAGAAACAGAAUACGGCAGGAGAAUGAUAUGGUUGAUUCAGCGCCUCAGUGGGAAGCUGUAUUAAGGAGACAAAAGGAAAAAAACCAAGCCGACCCCAACAACAGGCGAUCCAGACACAGAUCUCGUUCGAGAAGCCCCGAUAUCCAAGCAAAAGAAGAGUUAUGGAAGCACAUUCAAAAAGAACUUGUGGAUCCAUCCGGAUUGUCCGAAGAACAAUUAAAAGAGAUUCCAUACACUAAAAUAGAGUGAGUGACCCAAUCCGCAUCAGGCAUUCUCAUUCGCCACGAAGUUACCGCCAGUAUCGCAGGUCCCAGUGUUCAGAUGGGGAGCGAUCAGUUCUCUCGGAAGUGAAUUCAAAAACAGAUCUUGUACCACCACUUCCGGUGACCCGUUCUUCGGAUGCUCAGGGUUCUGGGGAUGCUACAGUUCAUCAGAAGAAAUGGGUCUAAAGAUAGCCUGAUGGAAGAAAAACCUCAGACAUCUACAAACAACCUGGCUGGAAAACACACAGC
rnacentral:lncRNA from 1 species